rnacentral:rRNA from 1 species
UACGUAGGGUGCAAGUGUUAAUCGGAAUUACUGGGCGUAAAGCGUGCGCAGGCGGUUAUAUAAGACAGAUGUGAAAUCCCCGGGCUCAACCUGGGAACUGCAUUUGUGACUGUAUAGCUAGAGUACGGUAGAGGGGGAUGGAAUUCCGCGUGUAGCAGUGAAAUGCGUAGAUAUGCGGAGGAACACCGAUGGCGAAGGCAAUCCCCUGGGCCUGUACUGACGCUUAUGCACGAAAGCGUGGGGAGCAAACAGG